GUCUCAGUAGCAUAGUGGUUAGUGCAGAGCAACGGAUAGGUUGAGACGCUGGUUCGAAUCCCGCCUGAGAUG
rfam:Nippostrongylus brasiliensis genome assembly, scaffold: NBR_scaffold0000790